rfam:Strigamia maritima strain Brora ctg7180001234294, whole genome shotgun sequence.
CUUCCGGCGCCUGUUGGCGCCAUCUACAGUGAAAUACAGAAAUAAU